rnacentral:rRNA from 1 species
AACGAACGCUGGCGGCGUGCCUAACACAUGCAAGUCGUGCGAGAAAGUUCCUUCGGGAGCGAGUAAAGCGGCGCACGGGUGAGUAACACGUAGGUAACCUGCCCCCCAGUCUGGAACAACUAGAGGAAACUACUAGCUAAUGCCGGAUGAGACCACGAUCCCUUCGGGGGUUGGCGGCCAAAGAUGGCCUCUACUUGUAAGCUAUCGCUGAGGGAUGGGCCUGCGGGCCAUUAGCUUGUUGGUGAGGUAACGGCUCACCAAGGCUGUGAUGGCUAGCUGGUCUGAGAGGAUGACCAGCCACACUGGGACUGAGACACGGCCCAGACUCCUACGGGAGGCAGCAGUGGGGAAUAUUGCGCAAUGGGCGAAAGCCUGACGCAGCGACGCCGCGUGGGUGAUGAAGG